ACGUAAGAAUCUACCUUUAGGAAAAUAUAACAAUUAGAAAUGAUUGCUAAUACUUUAUAUGCUGAGAAGUUAAAUGGGAUACCGCCUAAAGAUGAGCUUGCGUCUGAUUAGCUAGUUGGUGAGGUAAAUGCUUACCAAGGCAAUUAUCAGUAGUUGGUCUGAGAGGAUGAUCAGCCACACUGGGACUGAGACACGGCCCAGACUCCUACGGGAGGCAGCAGUGAGGAAUUUUUCGCAAUGGGCGCAAGCCUGACGAAGCAAUGCCGCGUGAAGGAUGACGGCCUGCGGGUUGUAAACUUC
rnacentral:rRNA from 1 species